GCUGGCUGGGAGUAUAUACUUAUUGUGGCAGAAAAGGAACAUCAGGGUGUUUUAGCAUAGGGAAAAGGCGUGCGAAGGAUAUCAGCAGACAACUAAUCCAAGAGCUACAUUGUAGAGGCCAGAAGUUUGCAGCAUUAGCUAAAGAGUUAGAAAGGUUAAAUUUUUACCCUCAGCAGAUAAAUGAGAAAUAAGAGAAAUAGAAGAGAGGACGUAGG
rnacentral:lncRNA from 1 species